GAGCCUACAACUUCAACAAGCAAUAGCAGUCCCCAUGGGAGCACAACCACAGCAGGAAUCACUACAUCAGCUGGAGGAAAUACACGCUCAGAGAGUUCUGUUUCAGAUUCCACUUUGGUAACACCUAGAGUCACAACCAGCCCCAAUAUAUCCCAGAC